UGGACUAAAAGAAAAAAGAUCAAUUGGACACUAGGCCCAUGAAAAAUAAAAACCUAAUUUGGACAUGAUAAAAAGGACCAUUCUUGGUAAUGCUGAAGAGGGGGAACCCUAUUUUCACUACCGGUUUCACGUACAUACACACUUUCAUACACAUAAUCCUAACCUCAAUCUCAAACACCUGCAUUCACUAAACAAUUUUUGUUUCUAACAGCUUUUUCCCUUUUUUCUAACAAUUUUCUUUGCACUGUUCAUCAUCCUCCUCACAAACAACACAACCUGUAACUUUUACACCCACACAUUGCAACCAUAUAACAAACCAAAGCUAUCAUCGCCACGACACCAUAAACAACAUUAACAUUAUUUGUAUGUAGUUUGUUUUACCGAAAAAAGAAAAAAGAAAAGAAGAAGCAAACAGCCCCGAAACUAUACAGAUCCACCACUCCAGUCGCGCGACAAUCGCAACCCUCCGAUCAGAACAACCAUCCAUAACAGUCGUCGGAUCCGCUGACGAAUACACAGCGCCUUCAAUCGCUCAGACCGCCUUCAACCGACGCAUCCAAUCCACUCCGCCGCGUCGACCACAAGCCGCAACCCCGCUCCAACAACCGCCGCGUGUGUGCAUCCGCCCUUUUCCGAUUCGCCGUUGGGUCAUAACGUUGCCACUCCAGAAUUGGGAAGAGGAAGGACAGAACGUGGAAAAGAGAGUCUGAAGGUUGGAACACGAAGAACUGAAGGAGAACUGAAGAAGGAGAGACCGAAGCUCAAGAACUCUUGACUAAGAUUGAGGAUAUCGGCUUGACUUGGUGAGGAUUAGCUCAUAAGUCGGUUUAGUAGUUGUAUCGGGUGUCAUGCUCUGGUAGAUGUAACACUGGGAACGCGAUGUUUUGAGUUCUAGAUGAUAAUUCUAUUUGUUUAAAUUAUUUUGAAGUCUGAUACAUUAAUGAUGUGAUGUUGACUUAAGGAUUUAUUUCCGCUGUGUAAGCAUGAUAAUUUGAAUUAUGAGUUAUGUUUAGAUUGUUCUUGGU